ACGAACGCUGGCGGCGUGCUUAACACAUGCAAGUCGAACGGUGAAGCGCCUUCCUUUUUGGUGGGUGUGGAUGAGUGGCGAACGGGUGAGUAACACGUGAGUAACCUGCCCCCUUCUUCUGGAUAACCGCAUGAAAGUGUGGCUAAUACGGGAUAUUCUGGGUCUGUCGCAUGAUGGGUCUGGGAAAGAUAUUGUUUCGGUGGGGGAUGGGCUCGCGGCCUAUCGGCUUGUUGGUGGGGUGAUGGCCUACCAAGGCGGUGACGGGUAGCCGGCCUGAGAGGGUGGACGGUCACACUGGGACUGAGACACGGCCCAGACUCCUACGGGAGGCAGCAGUGGGGAAUAUUGCACAAUGGGCGCAAGCCUGAUGCAGCGACGCCGCGUGAGGGAUGGAGGCCUUCGGGUUGUGAACCUCUUUCGCCAGUGAAGCAGGCCUGCCUCGUUUGUGGGUGGGUUGACGGUAGCUGGAUAAGAAGCGCCGGCUAACUACGUG
rnacentral:rRNA from 1 species